rnacentral:tRNA from 1 species
GCCUCUGUGGUGUAAUUGGUAGGCACGGCAGGCUUAAGCCCUGCUGCUUUCGGGCGUGUGGGUUCGAAUCCCUCCAGGGGCA